ACAAGAAAUACUGGUUUGGGAAUGUGUGCCCACUGGGGUGGGCUCCCAUUUACCCUUCUCUCUGCAGUGAGCAGCUGCGAGGGUUGGGGGAAUCUCCCUCCUACAGCUCCUGAGGCCAGGACCAGAUCUGCUUAAGACAAUCUCUGUGUCAUGAAGACUGUGUCAGUGGGGUCCCAUCAAAGUGAAGUACAGGAAUUUGGUUUAGGAGUUAAGGGAAGCAAAGAUUGGGGUUUUGCUUCGGAGAGUGGGAAUGCACACAUGAGGGCUGGAAACUGCAGUCAUUUUGUCACCACAAGACAAGCCCGCCUGAGGACAAAGCUAACACCACAGAGAACCACAGACCGAAAGAAAUGGUUCCACCUCAAAAAAGGGCAACGAGCCAGAGGAGCCACAGGACUCAGCAAAGCCAGACGUGCAGGUGCCUGGGAACUCCACAGCCCUCCCAUCAAAGAUUUCCUUGGGAAAUCCCCCAUCCCAUCUCUGCCCAUGUAGGUCACAGGAAGUCAACCCCAGCCCCACUCCAGCUUACAGCGCUUGAGCCAGCCCAGCCAUCCACUGGCUGCUUCAGAGCGGGUCGGCGACCAGCUAGUUCGUAUGACUCAAGCUGAGCCCAUGAGGGACAGCCCUGGGCCUUGUCAGAAAAAGGUUCUCUUUGACCAGUGGCAUUUGCUAGACUGUCUGCCAUCUUUGUCCUCACAGUGUGGGGGAGCAUGUGCCUGGACAUGAAGCCACUAUAGAGGAAGAGGAAAGUAGAGCCCAGAACAGAGACAGAUUCCAGACACACUUUUUGAGCACUUGGAUCUGGGUAAGCCUAAAGCCAAAAACCUGUAUGCUUCCUUUUACUUA